rnacentral:rRNA from 1 species
UACGUAGGUGGCAAGCGUUGUCCGGAAUUACUGGGCGUAAAGGGCGCGUAGGCGGCCAUCUAAGUCAGACGUGAAAUCCCCCGGCUUAACCUGGGAACUGCGUCUGAUACUGGACGGCUUGAGUAUGGGAGAGGGAUGUAGAAUUCCAGGUGUAGCGGUGAAAUGCGUAGAUAUCUGGAGGAAUACCGGUGGCGAAGGCGGCAUCCUGGACCGGCAUUGACGCUGAGGAGCGAAAGCCAGGGGAGCAAACGGG